rnacentral:rRNA from 1 species
UACGUAGGUGGCGAGCGUUAUCCGGAAUUAUUGGGCGUAAAGCGCGCGCAGGCGGUUCCUUAAGUCUGAUGUGAAAGCCCACGGCUCAACCGUGGAGGGUCAUUGGAAACUGGGGAACUUGAGUGCAGAAGAGAAGAGCGGAAUUCCACGUGUAGCGGUGAAAUGCGUAGAGAUGUGGAGGAGCACCAGUGGCGAAGGCGGCUCUUUGGUCUGUAACUGACGCUGAGGCGCGAAAGCGUGGGGAGCAAACAGG